rnacentral:rRNA from 1 species
GGGGGAAGCAAGCGUUGUUCGGAAUUAUUGGGGCGUAAAGAGCGCGUAGGUGGCUUUUCAAGUCAUAUGUGAAAACCUCAGGCUUAACUUGAGGGAUUGCAUGUGAAACUGGAAAACUUGAGUGCAGUAGAGGAAAGUGGAAUUCCUGGUGUAGCGGUGAAAUGCGCAGAUAUCAGGAAGAACACCAGUGGCAAAGGCGGCUUUCUGGGCUGCUACUGACGCUGAGGCGCGAAAGCUAGGGGAGCGAACAGGAUUAGAUACCCUGGUAGUCCUAGCUGUAAACGAUGGACACUAGGUGUGGGAAGUUAUCGACGCUUUCCGUGCCGAAGCUAACGCAUUAAGUGUCCCGCCUGGGGAGUACGGCCGCAAAGGCUAA